GCGGGAAUAGCUCAGUUGGUAGAGCGCAACCUUGCUCAAGCGUUGAUGUCGCGGUUCGAGUCCCGUUUCCCGCUCCA
rnacentral:tRNA from 1 species